rnacentral:rRNA from 1 species
GAUGAACGCUGGCGGCGUGYUUAACACAUGCAAGUCGAACGGGGGACAAUUUAAAGAAGCUUCGGCAGAUUUAGCUUGUUCCUAGUGGCGGACGGGUGAGUAAYGCGUGGGUAACCUGCCUCACACUGGGGGAUAACAGUCAGAAAUGACUGCUAAUWCCGCAUAAGCGCACAGAACCGCAUGGUUCAGUGUGAAAAACUCCGGUGGUGUGAGAUGGACCCGCGUUGGAUUAGCCAGUUGGCAGGGUAACGGCCUACCAAAGCGACGAUCCAUAGCCGGCCUGAGAGGGUGGACGGCCACAUUGGGACUGAGACACGGCCCAGACUCCUACGGGAGGCAGCAGUGGGGAAUAUUGCACAAUGGGGGAAACCCUGAUGCAGCGACGCCGCGUGAAGGAAGAAGUAUCUCGGUAUGUAAACUUCUAUCAGCAGGGAAGA